rnacentral:tRNA from 1 species
AGCUUGUUAGCUGAGAUGGAUUAGCGACAGACUGAAAAUCUGUAUAGGGCGGCUCGAUACCGCCACAAGCCA